UACAGAGGGCCCAAGCGUUGUUCGGAUUCACUGGGCGUAAAGGGUGCGUAGGCGGCCGGGCAAGUCUGAUGUGAAAUCUCAGAGCUCAACUCUGAAACUGCAUUGGAUACUAUUCGGCUUGAGGUCUGGAGGGGGGACUGGAAUUCUCGGUGUAGCAGUGAAAUGCGUAGAUAUCGAGAGGAACACCGGUGGCGAAGGCGAGUCCCUGGACAGAUACUGACGCUGAGGCACGAAAGCUAGGGGAGCAAACAGG
rnacentral:rRNA from 1 species